rnacentral:rRNA from 1 species
UACGUAGGUGGCAAGCGUUGUCCGGAUUUACUGGGUGUAAAGGGCGCGUAGGCGGGCUCGUAAGUCAGACGUGAAAUACCGGGGCUCAACCCCGGGGCUGCGUUUGAAACUGCGAGUCUUGAGUGCCGGAGAGGAAAGCGGAAUUCCUAGUGUAGCGGUGAAAUGCGUAGAUAUUAGGAAGAAAACCAGUGGCGAAGGCGGCUUUCUGGACGGUAACUGACGCUGAGGCGCGAAAGCGUGGGGAGCAAACAGG